UUGAAUGUUCUGAAGUCUGCUGAGCUGGUCUUUAAUCAAGACAUGUGCUCGCUGCUUCUAUUCAACUUUCAUCCACCUGUGCACUUAUUGUAGAGCUUUGAAGAGAGAGGAGCGCCUUUAGUUCACUCUAAAGACACCUCUAGUAUUCGGGUUCUAUGUUUAUUUCACAAACUCUUAUGAAUGUCUUGAAUGUCUUUUAUUGGGACUUUACUGGCCCUUUAAACUUUGUA
rnacentral:misc_RNA from 1 species